AGUGAACGCUGGCGGCAGGCCUAACACAUGCAAGUCGAACGGAAGCACAGUAAGCUUUUGCUCUUACGGGUGGCGAGUGGCGGACGGGUGAGGCAUACAUCGGAAUCUUCUUUUUCGUGGGGGAUAAUGUAGGGAAAGUUACGCUAAUACCGCAUACGACCUACGGGUGAAAGCAGUGGAUCUUCGGACCUUUCGCGUCUGUAUGAGCCGAUUACGGGCUAGCUAGUUGGCGGGGUAAAGGCCCACCAAGGCGACGAACCGUAGCUGGUCUGAGAGGAUGAUCGGCCACACUGGAACUGAGACACGGUCCAGACUCCUACGGGAGGCGGCAGUAGGGAAUAUUGGACAAUGGGCGCAAGCCUGAUCCAGCAAUACCGCGUGAGUGAAGAAGGCCUUCGGGUUGUAAAGCCCUUUUGUUGGGAAAGAAAAGCAGCAGGUUAAUACACGGCUGUUCCGACGGUACCCAAAGAAUAAGCACCGGCUAACUUCGUG
rnacentral:rRNA from 1 species